rnacentral:rRNA from 1 species
GAUGAACGCUGGCGGCGUGCUUAACACAUGCAAGUCGAACGAAGCACUUUAUUUGAUUUCUUCGGAAUGAAGAUUUUGUGACUGAGUGGCGACGGGUGAGUAACGCGUGGGUAACCUGCCUCAUACAGGGGGAUAACAGUUGGAAACGACUGCUAAUACCGCAUAAGCGCACAGGGUCGCAUGACCUGGUGUGAAAAACUCCGGUGGUAUGAGAUGGACCCGCGUCUGAUUAGCCAGUUGGUGGGGUAACGGCCUACCAAAGCGACGAUCAGUAGCCGACCUGAGAGGGUGACCGGCCACAUUGGGACUGAGACAGGCCCAAAACUCCUACGGGAGGCAGCAGU